CAGCAGCCACGGUAAUACAGAGGAUGCAAGCGUUAUCCGGAAUGAUUGGGCGUAAAGCGUCUGUAGGUGGCUUUUCAAGUCCGCCGUCAAAUCCCAGGGCUCUACCCUGGACAGGCGGUGGAAACUACCAAGCUGGAGUACGGUAGGGGCAGAGGGAAUUUCCGGUGGAGCGGUGAAAUGCAUUGAGAUCGGAAGGAACACCAACGGCGAAAGCACUCUGCUGGGCCGACACUGACACUGAGAGACGAAAGCUAGGGGAGCAAAUGGGAUUAGAUACCCCCGUAGUCCCUGUCUCUUAUAC
rnacentral:rRNA from 1 species